rnacentral:rRNA from 1 species
CGACCUUAGUUGCCAGCAUUCAGUUGGGCACUCUAAGGUGACUGCCGGCUAAAAGUCGGAGGAAGGUGGGGAUGACGUCAAAUCAUCAUGCCCCUUAUGACCUGGGCUACACACGUGCUACAAUGGGCGGUACAAAGGGUCGCGAACCCGCGAGGGGGAGCCAAUCCCAAAAAGCCGCUCUCAGUUCGGAUUGCAGGCUGCAACUCGCCUGCAUGAAGCCGGAAUCGCUAGUAAUCGCGGAUCAGCAUGCCGCGUCGAAUCGUCCGGCCUU